rnacentral:rRNA from 4 species
UGAAGAGUUUGAUCAUGGCUCAGAUUGAACGCUGGCGGCAGGCCUAACACAUGCAAGUCGAACGGUAACAGGAAGCAGCUUGCUGCUUUGCUGACGAGUGGCGGACGGGUGAGUAAUGUCUGGGAAACUGCCUGAUGGAGGGGGAUAACUACUGGAAACGGUGGCUAAUACCGCAUAACGUCGCAAGACCAAAGAGGGGGACCUUCGGGCCUCUUGCCAUCAGAUGUGCCCAGAUGGGAUUAGCUUGUUGGUGAGGUAACGGCUCACCAAGGCGACGAUCCCUAGCUGGUCUGAGAGGAUGACCAGCCACACUGGAACUGAGACACGGUCCAGACUCCUACGGGAGGCAGCAGUGGGGAAUAUUGCACAAUGGGCGCAAGCCUGAUGCAGCCAUGCCGCGUGUAUGAAGAAGGCCUUCGGGUUGUAAAGUACUUUCAGCGGGGAGGAAGGUGUUGUGGUUAAUAACCGCAGCAAUUGACGUUACCCGCAGAAGAAGCACCGGCUAACUCCGUGCCAGCAGCCGCGGUAAUACGGAGGGUGCAAGCGUUAAUCGGAAUUACUGGGCGUAAAGCGCACGCAGGCGGUCUGUCAAGUCGGAUGUGAAAUCCCCGGGCUCAACCUGGGAACUGCAUUCGAAACUGGCAGGCUUGAGUCUUGUAGAGGGGGGUAGAAUUCCAGGUGUAGCGGUGAAAUGCGUAGAGAUCUGGAGGAAUACCGGUGGCGAAGGCGGCCCCCUGGACAAAGACUGACGCUCAGGUGCGAAAGCGUGGGGAGCAAACAGGAUUAGAUACCCUGGUAGUCCACGCCGUAAACGAUGUCUACUUGGAGGUUGUGCCCUUGAGGCGUGGCUUCCGGAGCUAACGCGUUAAGUAGACCGCCUGGGGAGUACGGCCGCAAGGUUAAAACUCAAAUGAAUUGACGGGGGCCCGCACAAGCGGUGGAGCAUGUGGUUUAAUUCGAUGCAACGCGAAGAACCUUACCUGGUCUUGACAUCCACAGAACUUUCCAGAGAUGGAUUGGUGCCUUCGGGAACUGUGAGACAGGUGCUGCAUGGCUGUCGUCAGCUCGUGUUGUGAAAUGUUGGGUUAAGUCCCGCAACGAGCGCAACCCUUAUCCUUUGUUGCCAGCGAUUAGGUCGGGAACUCAAAGGAGACUGCCAGUGAUAAACUGGAGGAAGGUGGGGAUGACGUCAAGUCAUCAUGGCCCUUACGACCAGGGCUACACACGUGCUACAAUGGCGCAUACAAAGAGAAGCGACCUCGCGAGAGCAAGCGGACCUCAUAAAGUGCGUCGUAGUCCGGAUUGGAGUCUGCAACUCGACUCCAUGAAGUCGGAAUCGCUAGUAAUCGUGGAUCAGAAUGCCACGGUGAAUACGUUCCCGGGCCUUGUACACACCGCCCGUCACACCAUGGGAGUGGGUUGCAAAAGAAGUAGGUAGCUUAACCUUCGGGAGGGCGCUUACCACUUUGUGAUUCAUGACUGGGGUGAAGUCGUAACAAGGUAACCGUAGGGGAACCUGC